CCUACGGGGAGGCAGCAGUGGGGAAUAUUGGACAAUGGGCGAAAGCCUGAUCCAGCAAUGCCGCGUGAGUGAUGAAGGCCUUAGGGUUGUAAAGCUCUUUUACCCGGGAUGAUAAUGACAGUACCGGGAGAAUAAGCUCCGGCUAACUCCGUGCCAGCAGCCGCGGUAAUACGGAGGGAGCUAGCGUUAUUCGGAAUUACUGGGCGUAAAGCGCACGUAGGCGGCUUUGUAAGUUAGAGGUGAAAGCCUGGAGCUCAACUCCAGAAUUGCCUUUAAGACUGCAUCGCUUGAAUCCAGGAGAGGUGAGUGGAAUUCCGAGUGUAGAGGUGAAAUUCGUAGAUAUUCGGAAGAACACCAGUGGCGAAGGCGGCUCACUGGACUGGUAUUGACGCUGAGGUGCGAAAGCGUGGGGAGCAAACCAGGAUUAGAUACCCUGGUAGUCCACCGCCGUAAACCGAUGAUAACUAGGCUGUCGGGGCUCUUAGAGCUUCGGUGGCGCAGCUAACGCAUUAAGUAUCCGCCUGGA
rnacentral:rRNA from 1 species